UAGUUAUUCAAGAUAAAAUAAAUAUUUCAAAAGUUUGAUAAAAAUGCUUGACUGUAUCGCUAUCUGUCAGUGCAUUUGUGCAUUUUGAAACAAGCACACAACACACACAUACACAAACGUAUCCAAAGAGUCUAAAGAACGAUGAAAAGUAAAGAGCGGUAUCAAGUAGCAAGUGCUCCAAAGUUGCCCUGAACUACUAGGCUAAACAUCAUAGGAUGAGAUGCCAUGUCUGUCAAGAAGUCAACUUCAUAAACCAGAAAAGAAAUACGUUUAUCAAUUGUAUUACUGAAAAUGGAAAUGGUCUACAUAUACCUGAUCACCUGUAUUUUGCUAGGGAAAUUAUGCAACCUCACCUGUCAUGAGAAAGAGCCGGGUAUGGAGACAUAGCAACGAGAUGCUACCAGUUUCUGAUUGGACAGUCGGCAGAGCGUGCAGAACCGCUGCUCCUGGAGGGGAAAGUACAAACGCAUGGCGCGAGAAGGGUGACAAAGACUUUGUGAGGAACUAUAUUGGAUAUAUGCUGUAGGUUCGAAUCGACCCAAGAUGAUGAACCCUGAAGAUGGGACAAAGGUGACAAGGUGGCCUUGGGGAAGCCAGGUGUUUUCAACCCAUACAUUGCCCCAUUCUUCCAAGAGCUGACUGAGUUUGAAUGAAGACCUCUAGUGAGGGUGAGAAGAGCUAGCAAAUCAGAACUGAGGAGGAUUGUUACGGAGACCCAUGAGGAACACUUACGGUAACGCUGCGCUGAGUUCUCUCUCCUGCCCAACUGUCCCGUUGUGUUUUUCCCCCUUACCCCGAAUAGAGUUGCCCCUGAUCAUAGAUCUAGGAUUGUACACAAUUUGACCUCCAUCUCCCUCUCUCUCUUUGCCUCUGUCCCACACACACAAUGACGUUUUUAGAUUAGUGUUGUAAUGAUGCUCUCAUUUGUUUACAUGUGUGUUAACUGUUGUUACUUCUAUUGUCAAUUAUGUUGUUAAUUUGUUGUUACCAAUUUGAAUAACUGUAUUUUACAUACAAAUAUAUUGUUUUUCCUUAUUUAGAUUUCAGGGAGAAUUUACUGUAAAUGCACAGCAUUAUCCUGGCACCAGAGUUGUCAGUUUAAUACUGUAAUUUUACUUUACAUCAGAGAUGCUGUAAUAUAUUUCAAUGUACUAUUUUCUUUAUUGGUAAACAUUACAGCAUCCCUGUACAAUUACAGCAGGGAUGCUGUAAUAUGUUUUUUUUACUGUAAGGAAAACAUUACUGUAAAAUAUGACAACUUUUAACAGGGAAAAGUUUUACAAUGUACAAUGUCUCUCUACUCAGUAAGAGAGAGAGGUAGGGAGAAACAAAGAAAGAAAGAAACAGAAAGAAUGAAAGAGAGAGGGACGAGAGGGUGAAAACGAGAGGGAGAGGGACAGGCAAUCAUUUCUCUCUUUGCGGGCGGCAGAGCGGGGAGGCGUGCAGAUGAAACCCCAUUUUCCUCUGAUUAAGUCCUCCGAAAAUAUUCCAUUUGUCAGUGCCAUCGUCGUGGCGACAGGCCCGGCCCGCGCAGCCAGCCGACUGUGUCUGUUGACUAUGUAGCGCCGCGAUUUACAUCGGUCACUGACAACAUCAUCUCUCCCGCUAAUGUCCUCCUUCACUCCUGUCUGCUAGGCUACCCCCCUCA